rnacentral:rRNA from 1 species
CCUACGGGGGGCAGCAGUGGGGAAUAUUGCACAAUGGGCGCAAGCCUGAUGCAGCCAUGCCGCGUGUAUGAAGAAGGCCUUCGGGUUGUAAAGUACUUUCAGCGGGGAGGAAGGUGUUGUGGUUAAUAACCACAGCAAUUGACGUUACCCGCAGAAGAAGCACCGGCUAACUCCGUGCCAGCAGCCGCGGUAAUACGGAGGGUGCAAGCGUUAAUCGGAAUUACUGGGCGUAAAGCGCACGCAGGCGGUCUGUCAAGUCGGAUGUGAAAUCCCCGGGCUCAACCUGGGAACUGCAUUCGAAACUGGCAGGCUAGAGUCUUGUAGAGGGGGGUAGAAUCCCAGGUGUAGCGGUGAAAUGCGUAGAGAUGUGGAGGAACACCAGUGGCGAAGGCGGCUCUCUGGUCUGUAACUGACGCUGAUGUGCGAAAGCGUGGGGAUCAAACAGGAUUAGAUACCCCAGUAGUC